UCUGGUGAUUAUGGCCUGAAGGUAACAUUCGUUCCCAUACUGAACAAGUCGGUUAAGCGUCAAUGCAAACAUGGUACUUCAGGGGUGACCUUUUGGAAGAGUAGGUUGUCGUUAGGU
rnacentral:rRNA from 1 species